rnacentral:misc_RNA from 1 species
UCUUGAUCCUGCCAACUCUUACCA